rnacentral:lncRNA from 1 species
AGAAUCCAGGACCUGAAUUCCCAGCCUGGCCAACCCUUGCAGCCAUGUCUGCUCUCCAGAAGAGCAAGUGCUCCUUAAGGCCAGCAGGGUUGGGGGAGCUGGGGUGACCUGAGGUUCUUUUCUGUUAGAGCCCUGGUCCCCCUACCUCCACCACCUAGCCCUGCUCAAUAGAACCCCUGGGUGCUAAAUGGCAGGAGCCCUGGGGUGACCCAUAGGGGUAUGGCUGGCUGGGUCACUAACCUCUGUGAUCUACUUCCCUCUGCAGAUCAUGCGGAUCAAACCUCACCAAAGCCAGCACAUAGGAGAGAUGAGCUUCCUGCAGCAUAGCAGAUGUGAAUGCAGACCAAAGAAAGAUAGAACAAAGCCAGAAAAAUGUGACAAGCCAAGGCGGUGAGCCAGGCUGCAGGAAGGAGCCUCCCUCAGGGUUUCGGGAACUAGACCUCUCACCGGAAAGACCGAUUAACCAUGUCACCACCACACCACCAUCGUCACCGUCGACAGAACAGUCCUUAAUCCAGAAAGCCUGACAUGAAGGGAGAGGAGACUCUUCGAGGAGCACUUUGGGUCCGGAGGGCGAGACUCCGGCAGACGCAUUCCCGGGCAGGUGACCAAGCACGGUGGUCCCUCGUGGAACUGGAUUCGCCAUUUUCUUAUAUUUGCUGCUAAAUCGCCAAGCCCGGAAGAUUAGGGAGUUUUGUUUCUGGGAUUCCUGUAGACACACCCACCCACAUACACACACAUAUAUAUAUAUAUAUUAUAUAUAUAAAUAAAUAUAUAUGUUUUAUAUAUAAAA